GCUGGCGGUGCGCCUUAUGCAUGCAAGUCGAGCGAAGCUUUUCAGUAGUUUACUACAGAAAAUGACUGAGCGGCGAACGGGUGAGUAACGCGUGAGCAAUCUACCUUAGUUACAGGGAUAGCCCGAGGAAACUCGGAUUAAUACCUGAUAUUCUUUUUAUCUCGCAUGAGAUUUUAAGGAAAGGUCAGCCGAACUAAGAUGAGCUCGCGUUCUAUCAGCUAGUUGGUGAGGUAAUAGCUCACCAAGGCUACGACGGAUAGCUGGUCUGAGAGGACGAUCAGCCACACUGGGACUGAGACACGGCCCAGACUCCUACGGGAGGCUGCAGCAGGGAAUAUUGCGCAAUGAGCGAAAGCUUGACGCAGCGACACCGCGUGUGGGAUGACGGAUCUAGGUUUGUAAACCACUUUCAGGAGGGAAGAAAAUGACGGUACCUCCACAAGAAGCCCCGGCCAACUACGUGCCAGCAGCCGCGGUAAUACGUAGGGGGCGAGCGUUGUCCGGAUUUAUUGGGCGUAAAGAGCUCGUAGGCGGUUCAACAAGUCGGUCGUGAAAGUUCAGGGCUCAACCCUGAAAUGUCGAUCGAUACUGUUGUGACUAGGAUACGGUAGAGGUGAGUGGAAUUCCGAGUGUAGCGGUGAAAUGCGUAGAUAUUCGGAGGAACACCAAUUGCGAAGGCAGCUCACUGGGCCGCUAUCGACGCUGAGGAGCGAAAGCUAGGGGAGCAAACAGGAUUAGAUACCCCUG
rnacentral:rRNA from 1 species